GGCGAUCCGCGUGGGUGCGAUCCGACGGCCCAGAUCAAUCACGCGAUCGGACGGCCCAGAUUCAAUCGCACGGACGGCCCAGAUUCAAUCGCACGGACGGCCCAGAUUCAAUCAAAAAACGAACGGCCCAGAUUAAAACAAAAUGGACGGCUGUGAUCAAAAGGCAAGGGGUUAUAAAUAGAACCCCCACACCAGACCACAAACCCUAGCCGCCAGCUGCUCGCCGGAGAAGACGAACCAGAGGCCGACCGCCGCCACCCGCCGCCACUCGCCGCCGCACCGGGGAAAUUUCCGACCGCCGAUCGAGGUAAGUUUCAUACCCCCGACUCGUUUUUCC
rnacentral:lncRNA from 1 species